AUUGAACGCUGGCGGCAUGCCUUACACAUGCAAGUCGAACGGCAGCGGGGACUUCGGUCCGCCGGCGAGUGGCGAACGGGUGAGUAAUGUAUCGGAACGUACCAUUGAGCGGGGGAUAACUAUCCGAAAGGAUAGCUAAUACCGCAUAUUCUCUCCGGAGGAAAGCAGGGGACCGCAAGGCCUUGCGCUCAUUGAGCGGCCGAUAUCAGAUUAGGUAGUUGGUGAGGUAAAGGCUCACCAAGGCGACGAUCUGUAGCGGGUCUGAGAGGAUGAUCCGCCACACUGGAACUGAGACACGGUCCAGACUCCUACGGGAGGCAGCAGUGGGGAAUUUUGGACAAUGGGGGCAACCCUGAUCCAGCCAUGCCGCGUGAGUGAAGAAGGCCUUCGGGUUGUAAAGCUCUUUCGGCCGGGAAAAAAUCGCAUGGGUUAAUACCCUGUGUGGAUGAUGGUACCGGAAUAAGAAGCACCGGCUAACUACGUGCCAGCAGCCGCAGUAA
rnacentral:rRNA from 1 species